UUUAUAUAGUCGUGGUGAAUGAUUAUGUAAGUGAAGGUUACAAGUUUGCUACUAUUUUUGUUGUGUGGAGAUGGUGGAUUUUUACAUGGUGGUUUGGUGGUUCAAAGAAGAAAAGAGGGUUUGGGUGAGUUAGGGUUUAGGUUGAAAAGAGGGAGCUUGAAUGUGAUUUUGGCAUAGGUUAGUGGCUUUCAAUCUUGAAAAUAAGGGGGAUGGUGCUCUAUUUAUAGUGUAAGCAAAGAGGUUAAAGUUGGUGAAAG
rnacentral:lncRNA from 1 species